AGACUCCAAGGGUUUUUUAGCGGCCGGUAGCAACACGGAGCCGGCUCCCCCUUUUCCAGCCUUCCUCCCCAUCUCCCAUUCCCCGUCCCCCACGACCUAUACCAGAGGUCCUUAGGCCUCCACGUCUCCCCUUCUGCCUAGUAGCCCAAGGUUUCCACCCAUCUGCCAGGGGGAUGGCGUCCACUCCGAUGGGGAAUGAGGGGGAGAAGAAGAGCAGCUGGCCGUCUCAAGCUGCACCCUCCUUGAGAGGAGGUCCGGCUUCGUUGUCUCUCUCUGAGGAAUACCUGUCCCGGAUCAGUGCAGAACUGACGGAGGAGGCUUUGUGCACUGCUUGUUGCCACUUGAACCCUGUGCCCAUCAAAAAAAAACAGACACAAGACCAAGCGACUCAGAUAUCCAAACGUGCAUUCUUCACCAAGACCUGAGGCACAGAGACCCGGUGAGUGAGGCUUCAAGGGAGAUGCUCUUUGUUCUGGGAGAGAGA